CAGGCCUAACACAUGCAAGUCGAACGAGAACGGAUUAUAGCUUGCUAUAAUUGUCAGCUAAGUGGCGCACGGGUGAGUAAUAUAUAGGUAACGUGCCCCAAAGAAGAGGAUAACAGAUGGAAACGUCUGCUAAGACUCUAUAUGCCUUUAAGACUUAAGUCUGCAAGGGAAAUAUUUAUAGCUUUGGGAUCGGCCUGUACAGUAUCAGUUAGUUGGUGAGGUAAUGGCUCACCAAGACAAUGACGCUUAACUGGUUUGAGAGGAUGAUCAGUCACACUGGAACUGAGACACGGUCCAGACUCCUACGGGAGGCAGCAGUGGGGAAUAUUGCACAAUGGACGAAAGUCUGAUGCAGCAACGCCGCGUGGAGGAUGACACAUUUCGGUGCGUAAACUCCUUUUAUAUGGGAAGUAAUGACGGUACCAUAUGAAUAAGCACCGGCUAACUCCGUGCCAGCAGCCGCGGUAAUACGGAGGGUGCAAGCGUUACUCGGAAUCACUGGGCGUAAAGAGCGUGUAGGCGGAUAGGUAAGUCAGAAGUGAAAUCCAAUAGCUCAACUAUUGAACUGCUUUUGAAACUGCUUAUCUAGAAUGUGGGAGAGGUAGAUGGAAUUUCUGGUGUAGGGGUAAAAUCCGUAGAGAUCAGAAGGAAUACCGAUUGCGAAGGCGAUCUACUGGAACAUUAUUGACGCUGAGACGCGAAAGCGUGGGGGAGCAAACAGGAUUAGAUACCCUGGUAGUCCACGCCCUAAACGAUGCACACUAGUUGUUGUGAGGCUAGACCUUGCAGUAAUGCAGUUAACACAUUAAGUGUGCCGCCUGGGGAGUACGGUCGCAAGAUUAAAACUCAA
rnacentral:rRNA from 1 species